UACAGAGGUGGCAAGCGUUGUUCGGAAUUACUGGGCGUAAAGGGCGCGUAGGCGGCCUACUAAGUCAGACGUGAAAUCCCCCGGCUUAACCUGGGAACUGCGUCUGAUACUGGAAGGCUUGAGGAUGGGAGAGGGAUGCGGAAUUCCAGGUGUAGCGGUGAAAUGCGUAGAUAUCUGGAGGAACACCGGUGGCGAAGGCGGCAUCCUGGACCGGCAUUGACGCUGAGGCGCGAAAGCUAGGGGAGCAAACGGG
rnacentral:rRNA from 1 species